UACGUAGGGGCCUAGCGUUGUCCGGAAUUAUUGGGCGUAAAGAGCUCGUAGGUGGUUCGGCAAGUCGGAUGUGAAAUCUCCACGCUUAACGUGGAGGGGCCAUUCGAAACUGCUGUGACUUGAGUCCGGUAGGGGAGUGUGGAAUUCCCGGUGUAGCGGUGAAAUGCGCAGAUAUCGGGGAGGAACACCAGUAGCGAAGGCGGCACUCUGGGCCGGUACUGACACUGAGGAGCGAAAGCGUGGGGAGCGAACAGG
rnacentral:rRNA from 1 species